rnacentral:lncRNA from 10 species
CCAGCAGCCCCCACGGGAAUGGCAGAGGAGCAGGGCCUAACGAGACAGGAGGAUCUAGGCGAUUGCGCAGGUGGGGCCCGGGCCUCCGCCUCAGGUGGCACCAGGGGGCCUGGAGCAGCCGCGGCUUCGCCCUGACUGUGAGGAGAGGCCUCACACGCAGGCCAAGUGUAUUGGCUUUGUGAAGAGGACUUCCCAGGGCCCAGACCGAGUUGGGGACUGUGGUGCGAACCAUGCUGCUGCCGGGUCUCUGAGUCCCUGGUGCAGGUGAUUGCGGGGUGGAACGUUGAAGCAGGUACUGAUCCUGCUCUGGUCCGUGGGGCUGUGGAAAAAUCAUUUUCAGUAUUUCUGGUCUCUUCUGGAAGACCUUCGCUAACAGCAAAUUCUCAUCUUGGACGAUGUCACGCGGCUGUCGUGGGACUGUGUCCCCAAAGCAGCAGUGAGGAAAAAACGGGCCCAGUAGUGGCGAGACCUCGGCCCUGGCCCUACCACUAGGAAGACACUCUACAAGUCAAGCUGGCACUGGUUAAAUUAUAAGAUACACUACAAUCUCGUUCCCUGACCUCUUGAAGGUUUUGUUGAUAAAGGAAAAACGUAAACAUACAAGUAAACACAAUUUCCACAAUUCACAAUGGGCCAUCAUCAGUGAAGACCAUGGUGGAACCCAGAAACUAUAUGGGUGAGCAAAACGUUCUACAGAUGAACACUGCAUUCUUCCUGGAAUAAACCCUUCUCAUUUAAAGAUUUCCUGUGACAGGUGAUAACAAUCUUCUCCAAUUACUUGUAAAAGUCCUCUUUCUUCAGACUGAAAUAUAGCCUAGAAAUCUUGAAGACAUCUAGAGAACAAUCACGUUGAUGAAUAUGUGCAUACUUAAUAAUGCUAUAAGAAAAGAUAAAGAAUAAGUGGGGUCUUAAGUAAUUAUACAUUGGUCAAAGGAAGAAAGUUGAAUAUCUCAGGCAAUUGGCACAAGACAAGGAGGUCCCAGGAAAUUUCAAGACACUAAGAACGCGAGUUUGAAAAUGUCAUGGAUUAGGAGAGUGGAAGAAAAUAAGGUUGCAUGCAUGGGGAUUCUUGGAAAUCUUUAAAAUGGGGCAAUGCAGGAAAGACUCAUCCCAGGGACCCCCAAGGCUCUGAUUAAGGAAAGUGACCCGGUAUCGUUGAAUUUAGAAAGGUUGGUCCAGUGUUAUAGCAUAAGGCAGGGAAAAGGCAGAGAUGGGGAAUCCAGACCAAAAGUUGGUGUAAUUAUCCAGUUAUGAAGUGAGAAAGACCUCAAAAGCUUAUUUUUUUCAGUCAGACAGAUAUAUUUUGCUGUUGACUUGUAUGGCUUGGCUUAAUCAGUCACUUGCCUAAUUUCAAUAGAC